rnacentral:rRNA from 1 species
UGUACAUGUAUAGGAUCUACCUAGUAGUACGGAAUAAUUGUUGGAAACGGCAACUAAUACCGUAUACGCCCUACGGGGGAAAAAUUUAUUGCUAUUAGAUGAGCCUAUAUUAGAUUAGCUAGUUGGUGGAGUAAUAGCCUACCAAGGCAAUGAUCUAUAGCUGAUCUGAGAGGAUGAUCAGCCACUCUGGAACUGAGAUACGGUCCAGACUCCUACGGGAGGCAGCAGUGGGGAAUAUUGGACAAUGGGCGAAAGCCUGAUCCAGCCAUGCCGCAUGAGUGAAGAAGGCCUUUGGGUUGUAAAGCUCUUUUAGUGAGGAAGAUAAUGACGGUACUCACAGAAGAAGUCCUGGCUAACUCCGUGCCAGCAGCCGCGGUAAUACGGAGAGGGCUAGCGUUAUUCGGAAUUAUUGGGCGUAAAGGGCGCGUAGGCGGAUUAGUAAGUUAAAAGUGAAAUCCCAAGGCUCAACCUUGGAAUUGCUUUUAAAACUGCUAAUCUAGAGAUUGAAAGAGGAUAGAGGAAUUCCUAGUGUAGAGGUGAAAUUCGUAAAUAUUAGGAGGGACACCAGUGGCGAAGGCGUCUAUCUGGUUCAAAUCUGACGCUGAGGCGCGAAGGCGUGGGGAGCAAACAGGAUUAGAUACCCUGGUAGUCCACGCUGUAAACGAUGAAUGUUAAAUAUGGGAAGUUUUACUUUCUGUAUUACAGCUAACGCGUUAAACAUUCCGCCUGGGGACUACGGUCGCAAGAUUAAAACUCA